rnacentral:lncRNA from 1 species
CUCGGCAAAGUUGUCAUCAGGUUGGGUUGAGUGAAGGAAAAGCUGGAGAGAGACUUUAGGCAGUGAAAGCCCAGAAGAAGGCUUCGAAGGAUGAUGCUUUUCGAGCCUGAUCUGAACUCUAGGUUGCUAAGAAAUGGAUCACGUAGCUCGAGAGUUUCAUUGCUAUGGAGCAUGGUUCAUGGAGGCAUGGCAGAAGAGGGUUG